GGCAGGAGUGCAGUGAAGAGUCAGAGAAAUCUUGAUGGGCUCUGCUGGUGCUGUAGGUGAUAGUGGCGGUACCCCCAUCUCCAGCUGUACCUACCAGCAGCUUGCCUUGUGUGGGUUAAGGGUCAGUCCGGUUGUUGUCCUCAAGAAGAAGAUAGAGGAAGGAGGAUGAGAUGUAGCUGUGGUUGAAAGAGAGCAAGGGAGAGAGGAUUGAACAUCCAGAGCAAGUUCAUUGGACAUGCCAGAAGAAGAGCAGAGGAGCUGCACUGGGGCCUCCAGGCUCUCGUCCUCACACUCGAAACUUCUGUCUAAACAAGGCUUGGUGGCUUUUUCAUGUUCCUGCUAACAGGAUGAGCACUCACCUCCACAGUGUUGUAGUAUUACUGGUGUACUUUUCUGCUAUCUUCACUGAUUGUAUUCUGCCUUGUUUUACUACGAUUGCUGUAGCUUUUGGAUGUAGACAAGUAUAUCAUCGUGCUUGACAUUUAACAAAACAAUGGCCCAUAGAGCUUAGAUCCUAUGGGAAUACCUUUUUCCUCAAAAGGAUGGGCAAGCAGAGAAAGAUCUUGCUCACAGGGAGUGUGCAGUCUCCAUCUUUGUAGGCUUUCAGACUAGACUGAAACAGCCAUGAGCAACCUGUGCUGAUACCACAGCUGCCCUUUUUGAGCAAGUGGUAAGACUAGAGGCCUCCUGGAUUCCUUACAGCCUGAACUGUCCUACGAACUUGAUCUGCUUUUUUAAGUUUUCAUGUUAAAAAUAGACUGCUCUCUCUAAUCUGUAGGCAGAUACCAGCUAAGUUGUUGAUGGCAUUUUCUCUUGUCGUGGGGUUUCUGAAGGAUGCUGUUAUUGUGGGGAUGUAGACAGUCUGGCUUCCUUUGCACCUGCAUCUUAGUGACCAGGGCAAGUCAACUGUAAAUGUUCAUAUUUGUUAGGAGUAUUGUUUGUUAGCAGCCUCGCACUUUUUCCUUAAGCUCAGUUAGGUCAUUACUCACCGAUCAGUCACACUUCCAAAGGUGGCUGAAUACAGCAAAGCAUGUUGUUUUUUUCCCCUCUGGUGAUAAGUGCAUAUUUGCAUAGCCUUUUUUGUUUGACUUAGUGACGUUUUCUUUCCUCAGAGAUGUGUACUUUCUCCUCACCCUUCCUCCUCCUCACCUUCCCUCUUCCAAAUACCUUCAAUGCCAGGAUGACAGCUCUAAGGCUGCUGUCAGUCCCUUGCAUGUUUCAGACCAAGGACUUUAAUCACAGCAUGAUGCCAUCGUGUGAGCAAAAAUGAUAUUGAUGGUGUUUGCUAAUAUACUGUUUUUUAAAAUGAAAACGUUAAAAAUAAAUAUUUUAGGGGAAUUUUGCAUAUUAAUACUCAGUGGUUUGAAUAUGUGGUAAUACUUUUUGCAUUUAGAAUGCUUAAUUUUAAAAGAUUAUAUGGAUAAAGAUCUAUAAUUAACUGAUAAACAUUAAAACAUUAACUGAUAAAGAUUUAUAAGGCUGCUGAGGAAAAUUCCAAGAGUUUUCCCUCUCCAGUGCACUCUUUUAAGGAGUGAUAAAGGAGGAAACAUAGGGAUAUGGCCUUCAGUAUGGCUUAAAUAUAGCUUGCUUUAUUGCACCAUUGCUGAAUUAAAGUAAUUGAACUUGACACACAUUUAUUUAUUUAUUUAUUUGAGAAAUGCCGAUAGAGAGAGAGAAGUUGAUUUCAGUCUAAAUGUAGUACUCUGUUUUCUGGGAGACUAUCUUGGGCCAAGAACUGCAGUAAUAAAGAAUUAAAGUGGAUGAUAUUCCUUCUGUAUUUUUCAUCCAGAACUCAAUAGAAACCACAACAUGCGUAAUAAAAGAUCAGAUCUAUGGCAAGAAAAACACUGAUAUUAUAGAGUGGGUAAACGUAUUUUCCUACUUUUCUAUGUUUUUCAAA
ensembl:lncRNA